AGUCAUGAAGACAGGAAGGCCUGGCCUCUGAAGCAUCACUUUUAUCUGACCUGGCAGGGUGUGGUGGUGCGUGCCCGUAAUCCCAGCUACUUGAGAGGCUGAGGCGUGAGAAUCACUUGAACCUGGGAGGCGGAGGUUGCAGUGAGCCCAGAUCACCCCACUGUACUCCAGCUUGGGCUGCAGAGCGAGACUCCAUCUUGAAAAAAAGAAAGGCAGCUGGGUUUUAAAUGACAAGUCAAAUAUCUUCCACUGAGAUCGUGUGGUUUUAAUCAUACAAGGAGAGUGGCAGAAGAACAGAAAGAUUGAAACCAAGGACAGAGAACACCUGAAAUUGGAAUGGCUUCAAAUGUUCAGUGGAAGUGAACAAGUUCUUGUAUUGUUUUCUCCUAUUCUCCUUCCAGCUUCAGGGUCAUAUGUCACAGCGCUGGGCAUUUCAUUUGGGUAUCUAUCAUCAUUCCCAUUCUGCAAUGAGGAAAUGCUGUCAGAGUGAUUAAGUAAUUUGCCCAUGGUCUCACAUAGAAGCCUGUCUUCUCCAGGGAACACAGCACUCAGAAUCGUCUCGGCCCCUGCAUAAGCCUGCAUGAGCCUGGGCUCUGGGGACCCAUCCUGGUGCAUCAUUCGUUGGCUCUGUGACAAUGGGCACAUCGUUUAACCUCUCUUGGCUUCAUUCUCCUUACUGGAAUGAUGGAGAGAGUUUUGCCUAUUUCAGAGGCUUGCUCUUCUAUACGUGAGCCUAUAAGUAACUUGUCUUAAGAAUUUCCACUCCUUCUGUACUCUGAUUUAAAUUUGAAGGCAUCAAAACAAAAACAAUCAAGAUUUCAGAUUCCAAAUACUUUCAUUUUCAUUUUUUAUUUUGAUUAGAAUUUCUUCUGAAUGAAUUUCUGUUUUGUAAUUUUAGCAUUGCCCUGAGGGGGGGAAAAGGCAGUUUAUCACCAUGCAGUAUAUUUUUCAGACAGCCUCUCUUUGACAAACUGAUUUUUGUCAGUCUCAACUGACUCACCAAUUCCAAAUCCCAGGGCUUCCCUGGGAAACUUCCUUGGAUCAUGGCUCUGCCACACAGGACCGACAUCCCAGAGGCCAAAGCAACCUGCUAUAAACUGAGAUCAUUGCUCAGCAAGCUGGUACCACAUGCAAGGAGUCUCAAGAGCUAACAGGAAAUGAUUCAAGACCAGAAUUACCCAGAACAAGUGUGUUAGCUUCCUCUGCGCAUGGGAUAAUAAGGAGCUUGCAUCACCAACCUUCCGUGAAUAGCCUACUCAGUGAUUCAACAGGUUUCAAAAUUGUGAAAUAAGGGAUGUCUCUUGCAUGGUGUACUUUAGAAGUCUCUACCUGAGGAUGAAGGAAGUACCCAGGAGUAGGCAUCAUUCCACUUUUGUACCAUCUUCCACUAUGUUUAUAUGGGUCCUCACUGAGAAAAAGGUAUUAAAAGUGAGAUGGAAAGAAUAGGUCAGCUAGGUGAAAAAUGGGAGGAAGAGACAGAAGGAUCUGGGUUACAAAAGGCUGAGACCAGGCCGGG
ensembl:lncRNA LINC02866 long intergenic non-protein coding RNA 2866